UCGCGUUUCGAGCCUAUCAGGGAAUGAAUGGGUUCUCGAUUGUGGAUCAGUUCUGGGUUUAUUGGGACGAAGGUUCUAUUGUGAUGUACUCGAGACUUUUGAGUCCCUAUCGGUAUCAUGAUAAGGCUUUGGACAAGGUUUGUUGUUGCUUAUUAUGUCGAAGCUUUUGUUCUCUAUCGCUUGAACUCUAUGUUAUGUUAUUGUGUGAAAUCGCAAAAUGUCAUCGGAGAGCAGCAGCGGCAUGAUGUGAUAUCAACUCAACCCUCUGAAUCACCCAUCUCAACUUGCCAAAUCAAGACACAAAACAGGCGCCAUCAACACGUACGUGAUUCGUGAAUAAUUUGCAGUCACCGCAAUAUGUAAGCACCAGCUGAUUCGACUCCACUCCACUCCGCCGCGCAUCAAACUUUGGACCUACACUGGAGUUGUAGUGAAAGAGGCGAUGUUUAGCGCACUUUGAUGACUUGAUAUUGUUCAAUGGGGUCGUAAAUUUAGGGAAUGCGGAGUUUGAGUUUGUAGAUAGGAAUGCGGACUGAAUCAUGUGGAAUUGACCUGAUGACCAACUACUAUGUAUCUAACGCUUGAUGAUCUCAAUUGGGAACACAGUUCCUUUGCCUGAAAGCAGGUAUCAUCGCUUGGCUUGUUUACGCAAUUAGAACAAUACAUGAUUGCCAGCAUACGCAAAGAGUCCAUUGACCCAAAUACACACAUCUGCAGUUGUCACUCAUAUCCACUGGGCUCGUGUGGAAGUAUGUAUCACGGACCAUAACCAUUCCGCCCGUAUUCCUGGCGUACUAUCAGGCUGCCAGUUGGUUAAAAACUCAAAACCGCCGCUCCGCAUUGGCUGAACCCACGAAAAUCAUCACGCAAACAAAACAAGAAAUUUUGGGCUCCUGUUGGAUGAACAACUUGCAUGCUGCUGCAGCACUAGACUAGCUCUUUUUUUGGCAUUUCUCCCUGUUGGGCCAAUAGGAUUUAUAGGCGUGUUCCUAUUUUUCUGAUUUGUGGAAAAUGGGUUGGCUGGUUGGGCAUUUUCUGGGGCCGGGCUGCAGUCGGCCUCGGUCGGGAUUUCGGAGUUGCGCUGAUGGUCAGACAGGUUUUUGGACGGUGUCACUGUGCUGAUGCAGGGUUGUGCAUCUUGUGCCAACUACCAAGUAAGGAUGCUUCCUGUUUCAAACUUGAGUUGAGAAUUCGGUGAGAAAGCGAGUCAUUUUGCAGAUGACGCGGGGUCACGUGUUCAACAAAUGCCCAAAUCCGGUGAUCCGGGGAAUCACCCAAUCAUAUUGCUUAGUCUUGAGACCCGCAACGAACAACCAAUAAAAUGCAUUAAAUG
rnacentral:lncRNA from 1 species